rnacentral:rRNA from 1 species
GCACUUGUUAUUGAAGUAUACGUUUGCACUUGUUAUUGAAGUAUACGUUUUACACGACCGUACCGCAAACCGACACUGGUGCGCGAGAUGAGUAUUCUAAGGCGCUUGAGAGAACUCAGGAGAAGGAACUCGGCAAAUUGACACCGUAACUUCGGAAGAAGGUGUGCCUUUAGUAGGUGAAGUCCCUCGCGGAUGGAGCCCAAUGAGGUUGCAAAAAAUCGGUGGCUGCGACUGUUUAUUAAAAACACAGCACUCUGCAAACACGAAAGUGGACGUAUAGGGUGUGACGCCUGCCCGGUGCUGGAAGAUUAAAUGAUGGGGUGCAAGCUCUUGAUUGAAGUCCCAGUAAACGGCGGCCGUAACAAUAACGGUCCUAAGGUAGCGAAAUUCCUUGUCGGGUAAGUUCCGACCUGCACGAAUGGCGUAACGAUGGCCACACUGUCUCCUCCUGAGACUCAGCGAAGUUGAAAUGUUUGUGAUGAUGCAAUCUCCCCGCGGAAAGACGGAAAGACCCCAUGAACCUUUACUGUAGCUUUGUAUUGGACUUUGAACAGAUCUGUGUAGGAUAGGUGGGAGGCUUUGAAGCAGGGUCGCUAGAUCUUGUGGAGCCAACGUUGAAAUACCACCCUGGUGUGUUUGAGGUUCUAACCUAGGCCCGUAAUCCGGGUUGGGGACAGUGCAUGGUAGGCAGUUUGACUGGGGCGGUCUCCUCCCAAAGUGUAACGGAGGAGUUCGAAGGUACGCUAGUUACGGUCGGACAUCGUGACGAUAGUGCAAUGGCAUAAGCGUGCUUAACUGCGAGACUGACAAGUCGAGCAGAUGCGAAAGCAGGACAUAGUGAUCCGGUGGUUCUGUAUGGAAGGGCCAUCGCUCAACGGAUAAAAGGUACUCUGGGGAUAACAGGCUGAUACCGCCCAAGAGUUCAUAUCGACGGCGGUGUUUGGCACCUCGAUGUCGGCUCAUCUCAUCCUGGGGCUGUAGCCGGUCCCAAGGGUAUGGCUGUUCGCCAUUUAAAGAGGUACGUGAGCUGGGUUUAAAACGUCGUGAGACAGUUUGGUCCCUAUCUUCCGUGGGCGCUGCAGAUUUGAGGAAGCCUGCUCCUAGUACGAGAGGACCGGAGUGGACGCACCUCUGGUGUAUCGGUUGUCACGCCAGUGGCAUUGCCGAGUAGCUAUGUGCGGAAGAGAUAACCGCUGAAAGCAUCUAAGCGGGAAACUCGUUUCAAGAUGAGAUCUGCCGGGGCCUUGAGCCCCCUGAAGAGUCGUUCAAGACCAGGACGUUGAUAGGUCGGGUGUGGAAGCGCAGUAAUGCGUUAAGCUAACCGAUACUAAUUGCUCGUGCGGCUUGACC